rnacentral:rRNA from 1 species
UACGAAGGGGGCUAGCGUUGCUCGGAAUUACUGGGCGUAAAGCGCACGUAAGCGGCUUCUUAAGUCGGGGGUGAAAUCCUGGAGCUCAACUCCAGAACUGCCUUCGAUACUGGGAAGCUCGAGUCCGGGAGAGGUGAGUGGAACUGCGAGUGUAGAGGUGAAAUUCGUAGAUAUUCGCAAGAACACCAGUGGCGAAGGCGGCUCACUGGCCCGGUACUGACGCUGAGGUGCGAAAGCGUGGGGAGCAAACAGG